CAACUAAAAAAAAAAAAAAAAAAAAGACGUAUAAAUGUGAUGGGACUAUGUGAGUGUAGCUCGAGCCCUUUAAAUUACAACCAUAAGUAAAUACAACUAAGGCGCAUUCUUGUCAUCCAAGAUCGCACUUAUCUUCAAAGCCCGAUCUUUGGUGAAAACGAGGCAUCUUUUUCAGUUCUUCGAAAGUGUCUCGGAAAUGCAUUUUCCAGCACAUUCCUUUCACACAGGUCUCUUGGGAGCCUUGGAAUCUUACGGCGCUGGGUAGUUGUAAUGUUCCGAGGCUCCACUGGGACUUCAUAGCAGAAAUGGGCGCGGAAUGGAGCAGAGCAAAAGGCACAACCACUCGCAGGCAGUAAUGCAAACAUGUGUCACUUCCUACGCCCCAUUUGUUUACAUCUCACUACAGGAUUCGUGUAAGGACCAGUAUUGUGCCUGCCCAAACUGGGAUACAUCUUAUAAGCCGUCAAAUAUGGUAAAUUAUAGAAAAAUGUCCGAUUCACAUAAAAUCACACAAUACUGAGAGAGAGAGAGAGAGAGAGAGAGAGAGAGAGAGAUGCACGAUCAACUUAGCAGGGAAGAAGAAAUCCACUGUCACCUGACCCUAGCAUAAAAGGUGUGAAGGGCAUGUAGAAGAGAUUGCUACUAUGGCGAAUCUGCUGUGACAGCGCUGUGAACUUGCUGCAACACCACUGUGAAUCUGUUGUGACAGCGCUGCAACUGCGCUGUGACACCACUGCGAAUGUGCUGCGACUCCCAACCAUGCCGACUCCACUGUGAAUGUUUUGAACAGUCCAAAACAUUUGCUGUCGCCUGGCGAACGCGCUGCGACUCAACUCGCUCUGGCGACUCUGCUGCAACUGCGAGUCCAUUGUGAACACGUGGUAACUCCACUGCGAACGCACAGCAAGUCUACUGCGAACACGUGGCAACUCCACUGCGAACAAGUCGCAUCGGAAUCACAACGUCUUCUCCAACCAAAUUCACAAAUAUCUGAAUGGGACUUAAUGGUGCACUCAUUUUUCGUUCCAGUUAGACUUUUUGUUUUUCUAAUAAUACUCAACUUCUUAAUGAACUAAAUUAUAUGACUACUUAAGGUGAGUACAGCAAUGAGAACCUCACAUGAGUAAACCUUACCUUUUUGGUGUGGGUUGCCGUAAUGGCAUAAUUUGUUUACCUUCUGGGCAGGCUGUAGUGUCUCAGUUUGUUUAAGCUUUAUUUAGGUAUUUUUUUGGGGGACUAUUUAUUAAUUUUUUUGCUUUUAAUCAUA